AUGACGUAACAUGGAAUAUGUACGUAAUAGAUACAAAGAAAUUCAGAGACAAUGGGUCUACUGAAUUUAUGAAUAAACGAAUAUCACAAACAGAUUCAAUGAUUGUGACACCUACACAAAUGCAGUAUAGAUUUACGGAAACCUAAAUCUGAUAUUGAUGCGGCAUUAUCCGAGAGGUUGAAUAACUGCAAGGCAAACAUUCGGUGGCUCUGAUUUUCAUGGAUGACAUUAAUUGCGGUCAGUCUGAAGUGAGAUACAUUACUGAAAAUAUACGCGUUAUUGUCUGGAUUAUCAGUGAGCAGCUGCUGAGGCACAAGGCCCGAAAUUUUGAAGGAGGGAGGCAAUCGAUAAGAUCGACCCUACUACGCAACUGGUACUUAAUUUAUCGACCCCGAAAAGAUGAAAGGCAAAGUCGACCUCGGCGGAAUUUGAAUUCUCUGUAAAUCUCGAUAUUGCAUUAGAAAAAAGAGAGUCGAAUUGUACAGUGAGUAAGGAAACAAUAUUUCGCGGAGAGGGACGAAAAGCGGCAAAUACACUUCUCUGAACAGACGCGUGAUAAAAGGCAUUCUAGCAAGCCGUUAUGGAUGCCUCUGACAUAUAUAACAUCUAAACACGGAUGUAAUAUUCUGAAAUUAGCCGAUAUGAUUGAAGAGGAUACGGUUUAGAUGAUGAUGCAAAAUUAGAUCGAACACGGGGUGAAGCGAACGCAAUCAGUUUGGAGCGAACUCAUUAUACUGAAAUUAUAAAAAUUCAAACACCAAGCUCGAAAAUGCAAAGAUAAUGUUUUCAAAUAUUGGCAGGCCAGUAAUUUCGAGUGGGUAGGUGUAAGUCGAUUACAUUGACUCCAGUGAUAACUGGUACUUAUUUAUCGACCCCGAAAGGAUGGAUAGCAAAGUCGACCUCAGCGGAAUUUGAACUCAUUAAACGUAAAGACGUAUAAAAUGGCGCUAAUCGUUUUCCCAGCGUGCUGGCGAUUUUGCCAGCUCUCCAUCUGAAGGUAAAAUUGACUUCAGCGGAUUUUAAACACAGAACGAAUUGAAAUAAAAUCCGGACGAAAUGCCGCGAAUCUUCUUGUCCGAUUCAGUAAAUAUUCUGCUAGCUCGCCCGCUUACUUGAUAGAAGAUAA